UGAACAGAUUAUUGUAUUCGACUGUAUUCACAACGUGAAAUAGGGGAUUACACUGUUUUUAAAAUGGAAAGUGAAUCAAUUAACAUAAUAGACUCCU
rnacentral:pre_miRNA from 1 species